CCUACGGGAGGCUGCAGUGGGGAAUAUUGCACAAUGGGGGAAACCCUGAUGCAGCGACGCCGCGUGAGUGAAGAAUUAUUUCGGUAUGUAAAGCUCUAUCAGCAGGGAAGAAAAAAGACGGUACCUGACUCAGAAGCCCCGGCCAACUACGUGCCAGCAGCCGCGGUAAUUCGGAGGGGGCAAGCGUUAUCCGGAUUUACGGGGUGUAAAGGGAUCGUAGACGGCGCGGGAAGUCUGAAGUGAAAGGGAGGGGCUUAACCCCAGAACUGCUUUGGAAACUGCCAUGCUAGAGUGCUGGAGAGGUAAGUGGAAUUCCUGGUGUAGCGGUGAAAUGCGUAGAUAUUAGGAGGAACACCGGGGGCGAAGGCGGCUUACUGGACAGUAACUGACGUUGAGGCUCGAAAGCGUGGGGAGCAAACAGGAUUAGAUACCCUAGUAGUC
rnacentral:rRNA from 1 species